rnacentral:rRNA from 1 species
AGAGUUUGAUCCUGGCUCAGGAUGAACGCUAGCGGCAGGCUUAAUACAUGCAAGUCGAGGGGCAGCACGGGUAGCAAUACCUGGUGGCGACCGGCGCACGGGUGCGUAACGCGUAUGUAAUCUACCAUUAGGGAUAGCCCAUAGAAAUGUGGAUUAAUAUCUCAUAGUUCUUUUGUUCCGCAUGGGACGAAAGAUAAAGCUCCGGCGGUUACAGAUGGGCAUGCGUGACAUUAGCUAGUUGGUAAGGUAACGGCUUACCAAGGCUACGAUGUCUAGGGGUUCUGAGAGGAUGAUCCCCCACACUGGUACUGAGACACGGACCAGACUCCUACGGGAGGCAGCAGUGAGGAAUAUUGGUCAAUGGCCGGAAGGCUGAACCAGCCAUCCCGCGUGCAGGAUGACGGCCCUAUGGGUUGUAAACUGCUUUUGUACCUGAAGAAUAGGCCCAACGAGUUGGGACCCGACGGUAGUGUAUGAAUAAGCAUCGGCUAACUCCGUGCCAGCAGCCGCGGUAAUACGGAGGAUGCAAGCGUUAUCCGGAUUCAUUGGGUUUAAAGGGUGCGUAGGCGGAUUGAUAAGUCAGUGGUGAAAGCCUGCAGCUUAACUGCAGAACUGCCAUUGAUACUGCCAGUCUGGAGUAUGGUUGAGGUAGCUGGAAUGUGUCAUGUAGCGGUGAAAUGCUAGAGAUGACACAGAACACCGGUGGCGAAGGCAGGUUACCAACCCAUUACUGACGCUGAGGCACGAAAGCGUGGGGAUCAAACAGGAUUAGAUACCCUGGUAGUCCACGCCGUAAACUAUGAUUACUAGUUGUUGGCGAUACAUUGCCAGUGACUGAGCGAAAGCAUUAAGUAAUCCACCUGGGGAGUACGUUCGCAAGAAUGAAACUCAAAGGAAUUGACGGGGGCCCGCACAAGCGGAGGAGCAUGUGGUUUAAUUCGAUGAUACGCGAGGAACCUUACCUGGGCUCGAACGUAGAGCGACAGAUUGUGAAAGCACAGUCCUUCUUCGGACGAUCUACAAGGUGCUGCAUGGUUGUCGUCAGCUCGUGCCGUGAGGUGUCGGGUUAAGUCCCAUAACGAGCGCAACCCUUAUCGUUAGUUGCCAGCGGGUCAAGCCGGGGACUCUAGCGAGACUGCCACCGUAAGGUGUGAGGAAGGUGGGGAUGACGUCAAAUCAGCACGGCCCUUAUGUCCAGGGCUACACACGUCAUACAAUGGCUGGUACAAAGGGUUGCCAACCCGCGAGGGGGAGCUAAUCCCAUAAAGCCAGUCGUAGUCCGGAUCGUAGUCUGCAACUCGACUACGUGAAGUCGGAAUCGCUAGUAAUCGUGGAUCAGAAUGUCACGGUGAAUACGUUCCCGGGUCUUGUACACACCGCCCGUCACACCAUGGGAGCGGGUUCUGCCAGAAGUAGUUAGCCUAACCGCAAGGAGGGCGAUUACCACGGCAGGGUUCGUGACUGGGGUGAAGUCGUAACAAGGUAACC